UCCGGUUUGACACCGGCAGUCCCCUUAGAGUCCCCGACUUUACUCGAUGGUAACUAAGGGCAAAGGUUUCGCUCGUUAAGGGACUUAACCCGACAUCUCACGACACGAGCUGACGACAGCCAUGCAGCACCUGUACUUGUUGUACCCCUUGCGGGGCCUACCCCACUUUCAUGGGGAUAAUCCAAGCAUGUCAAGCCCAGGUAAGGUUCUGCGCGUUGCUUCGAAUUGAACCACAUGCUCCACCGCUUGUGUGAGCCCCCGUCAAUUCCUUUGAGUUUUAGCCUUGCGACCGUACUUCCCAGGCGGUCAACUUAGCACUUUUGCUUCGACCGUGAGACCGUCAGAGGCUCCACGAUCUAGUUGACAUCGUUUACGGCCAGGACUAC
rnacentral:misc_RNA from 1 species